rnacentral:rRNA from 1 species
GAUGAACGCUAGCGGCAGGCCUAAUACACGCAAGUCGAACGGUAAGUUGAAUAGCAAUAUUUGACCUAGAGUGACGUACGGGUGCGUAACACGUAUGCAACCUACCUUGUACAGGAGGAUAGCUCGGGGAAACUCGAAUUAACCCUCCAUAAGAUCGUGAAGUGGCAUCACUUAGCGAUAAAAACUCCGGUGGUACAAGAUGGGCAUGCGUCUGAUUAGUUAGUUGGCGGGGUAACGGCCCACCAAGACGAUGAUCAGUAGGGGAACUGAGAGGUUGAUCCCCCACACUGGAAAUGAGAUACGGGCCAGACUCCUACGGGAGGCAGCAGUAGGGAAUAUUGGUCAAUGGAUGCAAGUCUGAACCAGCCAUGCCGCGUGCAGGAAGAAGGCCUUCUGGGUUGUAAACUGCUUUUGCCAGGGGAUAAAAAGACCUUGCGAGGUUAAUUGAAGGUACCUGGUGAAUAAGCCACGGCUAACUACGUGCCAGCAGCCGCCGCGGUAA